rnacentral:rRNA from 1 species
UAAGGAAUCUUCCACAAUGGACGAAAGUCUGAUGGAGCAACACCGCGUGCAGGAUGACGGCCUUCGGGUUGUAAACUGCUUUUAUAUGGGAAGAUUAUGACGGUACCAUAUGAAUAAGGACCGGCUAACUACGUGCCAGCAGCCGCGGUAAUACGUAGGGUCCAAGCGUUAUCCGGAAUCACUGGGCGUAAAGCGUGCGUAGGUGGCGUGUUAAGUGUGAUGUUAAAUCGUGUGGCUCAACCAUAUCGAUGUGUCGCAUACUGGCAUGCUAGAGGGAAGCAGAGGCAAGUGGAAUUUGUAGUGUAGCAGUGAAAUGCGUAGAUAUUACAAGGAACACCAAUGGCGAAGGCAGCUUGCUGGGCUUCUUCUGACACUGAGGUACGAAAGCGUGGGGAGCGAACAG